GAGCUAUACUCAUCAAGGACAAAAUAUAAACCCUGAAGGGAUUCUUCCAGUAACCUGCUUCCUCCAGACACUUCUACCUGCCUACAAUUACCACCCAGUUAACCCAUAUCAAUGUUUUAAUCCACUGAUUAGGUUACACCUUGAGUAAUCUAUAGUAAUUUCAUCUCUGAAAAUACUUGCAUUGUCUCUCACACAUGAGAUAUGAGGGAACACCUCAUGUCUAAAUCAUAAAACCAUCUGCAUAUGGUAUAUGAUGUUGGUACCACUGAGUUACCUUAGACAAAAUCUCUACCAUUUGGGUAUUUUAAAGGAUUUCGGGCAGAAAAGUAUACUUAUUUUAACAAACAAGAGAUACAACAGUGGGCAUAAUCCCACACCAUGUGUUGGACCUUACAUGCUCCAUACCCACAAACUAAUGAAACCAUUGAACAACAAAAUGGAAAACUAAAAUAACAGUUAAAGAAGGGGCAUCAAGAUAGAUUGUUAGUAGGAUGACAUUCUGGCCUCACUAGAAUCAUUUGGACACUCAACACUGUUCACUAAUGAAAGAGAAACAGCACUGCAAUGCAUCUUGAUAAAUACUAAAUGUGGAGAAAAUGGAGGACCAGUUGGUCACCUGACUAGGCUAUGGCUGAGGCAUCCCAAUCUUGGUUUACCCAAACAUUCUUUUUCUCUUUUCCACUCUGAAACACUCUGCCCAGGGGUGGUUUGUGAUCCAUUUAGCUGUUACGCCUUACAUAGCUCCUCAUGCUUCCCCACAGAGUAUUUACCUCCCUUAGAACCCUGUGGGAAAGGGGAAGAAAGCUAUAGAAUGUCAGGAUACCAGAAUUACCUCGAUUACAUCAGGAGUUCUCAACAGCCCUGUACAGGAGUAGAGGUUGACGGUGCUGUAUAACAUGCAUACUUUGCACAGGACCUAACCUUAUUGCCUGGAUUGAGUGAUCACAGCAGAAAGUUCAAGGAACACAGCAAGGGCAAUGGAUUCAUCUCCAUUAGGAUACUUUGGACAAUUCAAACUUCAACUGAUGGAACAGGAGUUUCUCACCGUUGAAGUUACCAGGAGUGAGGGCAGAAGCUGGGGAGGAACACUGUCAUCUUUUUUCUCCUCUCAAAGACUCCUGAUAAUACUUGGGUUGACAACAACCUCAUCAAAAUCAGCACAUCCCUACAGAUAGUUUAAAACUCAUUAUGGCUUCCUUCCAUAGCCUCUGAUACAUAUAUAUGAAGAUUCCUGAGUCUAUAAACCCUCCAGAGCUGGGGUUGAGUCUCUCAAACUAAGAAACAGCUUGCAUUUUUUUUCUAUUUUGGAGAUGGGAUUUUACUGUUUCCCAAAUUGAACUCAAAACUGUUGGGCUCAAGCAGUCCUCUUGCCUCCUGGCUCUGGGACCACUGGUGCAUGCUGCUGUGCCUGGCUUUGAGGCCAUAGAACUUGCCUUAGGAUACAAGAGAGGGAGAACACAACUUUGCCUCUUCUGAAAAAGGCAAAUAUACCUCAGAGAUGCUCAAGGAUUGUGUUUAAGUAAACUUCAUAAUGCUAAUAGCAAUGAUUUAAUGAUACUAACAAGUAGGUAAAGAUUUUGUAUAAUUACCUCAUCUGAUCUUCAAACAAUUAAAAAAUAAAGACACAGAAGUGCAAUGUUAACUAUUCCCUCCUAUUUACAGAUGAUGGAUACUGAGAAAGGUUAAGCUAACUUAUCUAAAGUCAUAUUGUUUGUAGGCAAAGAAACCCAGAAUAGAAUUCAGGUUUCUCCAGUUCCCAAACUAAUCUUCUUUCCAUAAGAAAACGUGCCUAUAGGAGAAUAUUUGCCUUUUCUUCUAAGUUAUAUGGAGUCACAUUUAAGGAUUCUCAUUACAAGACCAAGUCUGCAACUCAUGAAGUCAUCUCUGUGCUCGGAAACUUCAACAUGAGACUCAAAAUCCUGUCUUCUCUCCCAGAAGUGAGUUUUCCAGAAAUUCUUUAAGGAGAAGAAAGAAGCAGGGAUUCACCGCUGUAGACAUCUGAGUCCUUAAAAAAUGGCUCUGCAAGGCUACUAUCAUACUCCAACAAUAGACAAUGAUGUUGCUUGUACCAACCUAAAGGCAUGGCACUGGAAGGGGCAGGAACACAGAGAUGAAUGCUCGGAGCUUCCGAGGAGGCCGAUUUUUUAAGGCACUCUACCCUUCUUUGGCAGAGUCUGCCACUAUUUGAGGCAGAGAAAGAAAAUGCUCCUAUUCACUAACAGCACAGAAGCUCGAGGUUACUAAGGGUUACUCCAGCAGCAGCCACGCAAAUCUCCCUGUCACAGGGGCACAGCCGCCCUUGGUCACAGCAGCUCACCAGCUUGACGGCAGCGUCACACAGCACGCGAUCAUCCCGCUUUAGUCACAGUCACGUCACGCACACACUAGGUCCCACGUAGCCUCCCGCGAACAAACGAUUAGGACCCACUUGCAGGCCUCACGGCCCCACAGGACCGCGCAGAGCCAAGGAAGACGCGCGGCCAAACCAGACCCACGCGAACGCGGACACUCACGCGCCCCGACACUCUCGGGCUCAGACUCUCCCAGGUCCUCACGGCUGGCCCGCCGGGAGCACCCGGACGCCCCACCUGGUGCCCUGCCCGCCCCACCGCACGGGCCAACGUCGCCGGUCCAGGCCCAGACGCUGGAAGGUAACGUCGGGAGGCUUGGUUUUCCCGGGGUCAUUAUUUGCCUCAAAUCAACAGGAGCAAGAGAACGGGACUCGUGAGAGAUGCGGAAACAAUGAAGAUGCCUGGCGCCUUGGAGGACGCGGAACUCCUGUCUCCGAGGAAGAGAACCCUUGAGGGGACGUUAGGUCGGGGCACCCAUGUUGCAGGUUCAGACUUUCACAGGUGUUAGGUCCCUAGGGGAGUUGGCAGAGGGAAGCUUUUGGGGGAACUUACAGCCAUGGGGUUCACCAAAAUAUACCCAAGGUGCUGCCCAAGGAAAGACAAUGGCUUCCUAUGGCCAAUACCCACUGUAAACUCAACUUUUCUGCAAAAGUCUAUUUGGGAGGAGAAUGAGCUAAAUACUUAGGUGGGUAUUUACUUCCAGUGGUAUAUACUUUCACUGCUCUUUCUGGAAGAAUAUGUGAAGAGUUUCUGUGCAAAUUUCUUUUAAAAAGCUGACCAAGAUUCUCCUGGUGGCACUGGAGAGGCUAGCAAAAGAAGUCAAAGUUUGGGGAAGUCACAAUGCUUCCCAACCAUCCUCAUGACACAAGUGGAAAAUAGUAAUAUUUGUAUGGCACACUGGAUUGUAUAUAUUAGGGAGUAAAUUGAGCUGACAUAAUAAAGAUCCCAAAAUACAGUGACCUGAA